rnacentral:rRNA from 1 species
AACGAACGCUGGCGGCAGGCUUAACACAUGCAAGUCGAACGAGCUGGGGGCUUCGGUCCCCGAUGCUAGUGGCGCACGGGUGAGUAACACGUGGGAAUAUGCCCUUUAGUACGGAAUAACCAAGGGAAACUUUGGCUAAUACCGUAUACGCCCUUCGGGGGAAAGAUUUAUCGCUAAAGGAUUAGCCCGCGUCUGAUUAGGUAGUUGGUGAGGUAAUGGCUUACCAAGCCGACGAUCAGUAGCUGGUCUGAGAGGAUGAUCAGCCACACUGGGACUGAGCACCGGCCCAGCCCCCUCGGGGGGGCGGAAGUGGGGAAUAUUGGAAAUGGGGGGAAACCCUAACCCACCCCUGCCGGGUGAGUGAAAAAGGCCUUCGGGUUGUAAAGCUUUUUCGCCGGGGACGAUGAUGCCGGUCCCCAUAAAAGAAGCCCCGGCAACCUUCUU